GAUCCUGGCUCAGGAUGAACGCUAGCUACAGGCUUAACACAUGCAAGUCGAGGGGAAACGACAGUAAAGCUUGCUUUAUUGGGCGUCGACCGGCGCACGGGUGCGUAACGCGUAUCCAACCUGCCCCCAACUCCGGAAUAGUCCCCCGAAAGGGGGGUAACGGCCGGAUGCUGCAAUUUUUCCGUCAUGGUGAAAUUGCGAAAUAGAAAAAGGUUAGGGGCGUGGGGAGUGCGUCCCAUUAGGUAGUAGGCGGGGUAACGGCCCACCUAGCCGACGA
rnacentral:rRNA from 1 species